AAAUAAAAAACACACUUUAUAUUAACCAUAACCCCAUCUAUUUAAACAAAUAAAUAAUACUAAAAAAUAUUUAUUGUUUUAUUUACGAGCCUAAGAGACCAUUUUCUCUAUUUAUUGUUUUAUUAAUGAGCCUAAGAGCCCAUUUUCUCUCCUUUUUGGAACUUGUUUUAGAUUGGGAAAAUACACCCUGUAUUCAUAUUAAGGGAAGGGUGAAUGGGUAAAAUCACUUGACCUCAUUUUGCACUCGGUUGCGAAGUUAUUCAAUGAGGUUUACCCGAUCAAACCUCUGACCUACGGUCGAUCGCCUCUCUCCCUCUUUCGACCACCGCCGUCUGGCUAUUCCGACGAGUAGAAACACCGAAUCCAUCCUCACUAUGUUCAAUUUGGAUUUUGAAGGUAAAAGAUAAACCCUAUCAAUAUUACCUUUUCAGUCUCUCCUUCAAAUACGAGGCUUUGAUCUUUUAAAAUCCUUUUUCAAUCCUUCAAAUUCACACCUCAAAUUCCGCUGUCUGUCUCCAUUUACACCAUUAUCGAUCGGACUUCACUCCUCUUGUUUGCUCUUACGUUUGCCACCUGCUCCGUUAAUCAUGUUUGCUGUGUAUUGUUCUACUCAUCUUCACCAUUUUUUUCUCGAUCGCCUUCGUCCCUACUAGUUUGAUCUCUUCUCUUUUCUCCAUUCCAAUUUUUUGCCUCUCACCUCUUACAUCUUAAUCAUAUAAUGAGCCUCUCUAACUUCAGAUUUAAUCAACUGUUGAAACCCAAUGAAAAUUUCGAACAAAUAAAAGGUUAUGCUCCACUCAUACCCACUCAACUUCUUGAGACAAAUUUUCUUAUCUUAGGUUCCAAUCCACUCCACUUUACUCCAGCUUUUGUAUUUAGAUCAGAUUGCUACAAUUGGGUAAAAUUUUAAAGUAAAAAGUAGGAAGCUUAAAAUAAUGCCGAUAACGAGCGUGCCAAGACAAAUGUUGAGAUUGAAAAAUUGAAGAUGUUAGUUGAGACGCAGCCAAACAAUAUGAUGCUCAACAAAAAUAUGAGGAUGCUCAACAAAAGAAUGUGAAGUUUCAAUAGAAAAAUGUAGAUGUUCAAUCAAAGUUUGAACAACUUACACAACCAAUGAAUAUGAUAGAAUAUUAUGUAUCGAAUAGCGUUUUAUGUUAAAUUUAUGGCGAAUUUUGAUUUUGAAAUAUGUAUCAUUUGAUUUAGUAGAUAUUUGUUUUAGCUUGUAUAGAAAUACUCUAUUACUUUUGGUUU